GACGAACGCUGGCGGCGUGCUUAACACAUGCAAGUCGAGCGGUAAGGCCCUUUCGGGGGUACGACGAGCGGCGAACGGGUGAGUAACACGUGGGUGACCUGCCCUCAGCUCUGGGAUAAGCCCGGGAAACUGGGUCUAAUACCGGAUAUGACUCCAUGACGCAUGUUGUAGGGGUGGAAAGCCCUUGUGCGGCUGGAGGAUGGGGCCCGCGGCCUAUCAGCUUGUUGGUGGGGUNAUGGCCUACCAAGGCGACGACGGUAGCCGGCCUGAGAGGGCGACCGGCCACAC
rnacentral:rRNA from 1 species